AAAGUCGUAACAAGGUUUCCGUAGGUGAACCUGCGGAAGGAUCAUUACUAGAGCAAAGGAUAGGUGAUCGACUCUACUCCGGUAGGGUUGAGAGCCGUCGAACCUCUCGGAGAAGUUUGGUCCUGAACUCCACCCUUGAAUAAAUUACCUUUGUUGCUUUGGCGGGCCGCCUCGCGCCAGCGGCUUCGGCUGUUGAGUGCCCGCCAGAGGACCACAACUCUUGUUUUUAGUGAUGUCUGAGUACUAUAUAAUAGUUAAAACUUUCAACAACGGAUCUCUUGGUUCUG
rnacentral:misc_RNA from 1 species